AGAGUUUGAUCCUGGCUCAGGAUGAACGCUAGCUACAGGCUUAACACAUGCAAGUCGAGGGGCAGCAUGUUGGUUGCUUGCAACCAACGAUGGCGACCGGCGCACGGGUGAGUAACGCGUAUCCAACCUACCCUUGUCCAUCGGAUAACCCGUCGAAAGGCGGCCUAACAUGAUAUGCGGUUCACAGCAGGCAUCUAACGUGAACGAAAUGUAAAGGAGAAGGAUGGGGAUGCGUCUGAUUAGCUUGUUGGCGGGGUAACGCCACAAGGCUACGAUCAGUAGGGGUUCUGAGAGGAACGGUCCCCCANAUUGGAACUGAGACACGGUCCAAACUCCGUACGGGAGCA
rnacentral:rRNA from 1 species